UGCCGGAUCGUCUAAUGGUAGGACAGCGGACUCUGAAUUCGUCAGUGGUGGUUCGAAUCCAUCUCCGGCAGCCA
rnacentral:tRNA from 1 species